UUUGAACGCUGGCGGCAGGCUUAACAUAUGCAAGUCGAGCGGGGAAGGGUAGCUUGCUACCUAACCUAGCGGCGGACGGGUGAGUAAUGCUUAGGAAUCUGCCAUUUAGUGGGGGACAACAUUCCGAAAGGAAUGCUAAUACCGCAUACGUCCUACGGGAGAAAGCAGGGGAUCUUCGGACCUUGCGCUAAAUGAUGAGCCUAAGUCGGAUUAGCUAGUUGGCGGGGUAAAGGCCUACCAAGGCGACGAUCUGUAGCGGGUCUGAGAGGAUGAUCCGCCACACUGGGACUGGGACACGGCCCAGACUCCUACGGGAGGCAGCAGUGGGGGAUAUUGGACAAUGGGCGGAAGCCUGAUCCAGCCAUGCCGCGUGUGUGAAGAAGGCCUUAUGGUUGUAAAGCACUUUAAGCGAGGAGGAGGCUACUUAGAUUAAUACUCUAGGAUAGUGGACGUUACUCGCAGAAUAAGCACCGGCUAACUCUGUGCCAGCCGCCGCAGUAA
rnacentral:rRNA from 1 species